UACGGAGGGAGCUAGCGUUGUUCGGAAUUACUGGGCGUAAAGCGCACGUAGGCGGCUUUUUAAGUCAGGGGUGAAAUCCUGGAGCUCAACUCCAGAACUGCCUUUGAUACUGAGGAUCUUGAGUUCGGGAGAGGUGAGUGGAACUGCGAGUGUAGAGGUGAAAUUCGUAGAUAUUCGCAAGAACACCAGUGGCGAAGGCGGCUCACUGGCCCGAUACUGACGCUGAGGCACGAAAGCGUGGGGAGCAAACAGGG
rnacentral:rRNA from 1 species